rnacentral:rRNA from 1 species
UACGGGGGGGGCAAGCGUUGUUCGGAAUUACUGGGCGUAAAGGGCUCGUAGGCGGCCAACUAAGUCGGAUGUGAAAUCCCCAGGCUUAACCUGGGAACUGCAUCCGAUACUGGAUGGCUUGAAUUCGGGAGAGGGAUGCAGAAUUCCAGGUGUAGCGGUGAAAUGCGUAGAUAUCUGGAAGAACACCUACGGCGAAGGCAGCUCUCUGGGACGGUACUGACGCUGAGACGCGAAAGCGUGGGGAGCGAACAGG